UAAGGAAUAUUGGUCAAUGGACGCAAGUCUGAACCAGCCAUGCCGCGUGAAGGAUGAAGGUCCUCUGGAUUGUAAACUUCUUUUAUCUGGGACGAAAACGGGAUUUUUAUCUCAAUUGACGGUACCAGAGGAAUAAGCACCGGCUAACUCCGUGCCAGCAGCCGCGGUAAUACGGAGGGUGCGAGCGUUAUCCGGAUUUACUGGGUUUAAAGGGUGCGUAGGUGGGCUUAUAAGUCAGUGGUGAAAUCUCCGAGCUUAACUUGGAAACUGCCGUUGAUACUAUAGGUCUUGAAUUAUCUGGAGGUAAGCGGAAUAUGUCAUGUAGCGGUGAAAUGCUUAGAUAUGACAUAGAACACCAAUUGCGAAGGCAGCUUACUACAUAUAAAUUGACGCUGAGGCACGAAAACGUGGGGAUCAAACA
rnacentral:rRNA from 1 species